CUAUGCUUCGCAUUGGCACUUCCAUCUCGGUUGGUACUGGGUCCGCGACCCUGUUCUGGUUUGAUCGGUGGAUUGGCGGCAUCCCUCUGGCCAUUCGUUUUCCCGAGCUAUUCGCCAUUGCUGUUGACCCUCGAGUCUCUGUCGAGUCACCCCUUUGGCCCGCCCGAAGUAGCCGCCUGGGAUGCCCUCCUCAAGGACAUCGCCCUUCUCCCGAUGAGUGUCAACGACACCCCGGACGCCAUCUCUUGGCAUCUGGAGUCUUCUGGUUGCUUCUCCACCAAAUCUUUGUACGCAGCCAUCGCCCCCUCGCCCGCCCUCGAGCCCUUCAGUCUGAUCUGGGACAUCCGCUUGCCCCUGAAAAUCAGGAUCUUCCUGUGGCAAUGGAUCCGUGGCCGCCUCCCUUCCGGAGUAGAGGUCCUCAAGCGUAAUGGACCCAGAGAUGGGCUUUGCCCCCUGUGCGGCACGGUGGAAGAUGCUAAUCACAUCUUCUUCUCGUGCUCCACGGCCCAGUUUCUUUGGUCCAGUUUCCGCGAGACGGUUAGCGGCCAGUGGUGUAAUUCCAACUUCCCUGACCUUCUCGCGGAGAUCCAUGCCUCCCCCCCUCGAUACCGUCAU
rnacentral:rRNA from 1 species